rnacentral:rRNA from 1 species
AUUGAACGCUGGCGGCAGGCCUAACACAUGCAAGUCGAGCGGAUGAAGGGAGCUUGCUCCUGGAUUCAGCGGCGGACGGGUGAGUAAUGCCUAGGAAUCUGCCUGGUCGUGGGGGAUAACGUCCGGAAACGGGCGCUAAUACCGCAUACGUCCUGAGGGAGAAAGUGGGGGAUCUUCGGACCUCACGCUAUCAGAUGAGCCUAGGUCGGAUUAGCUAGUUGGUUGGGUAAAGGCCUACCAAGGCGACGAUCCGUAACUGGUCUGAGAGGAUGAUCAGUCACACUGGAACUGAGACACGGUCCAGACUCCUACGGGAGGCAGCAGUGGGGAAUAUUGGACAAUGGGCGAAAGCCUGAUCCAGCCAUGCCGCGUGUGUGAAGAAGGUCUUCGGAUUGUAAAGCACUUUAAGUUGGGAGGAAGGGCAGUAAGUUAAUACCUUGCUGCUUUGACGUUACCAACAGAAUAAGCACCGGCUAACUUCGUG